rnacentral:lncRNA from 1 species
UCAUCCCACAUCGUCACUGUCUUUAGCUCUCUCGCAAAUGCUCUCUGGCGACGUUCCCCCCUCUCUCGCAAAUACUCUUCACGACUUUUUCUCUCUCUCAAAAUUAAGCUCUUCGCCCACCGUUUGAAGGAACUCACCAAAUUUGCAAGUAAUUGAAGAAUUUGUGGUCCAUGAGAUCGAUUAAGUCCAUUUAUGAGUUAGUUUGAUUAGAUUAUGUCACAUAUACAUGUAUUACAAUUAAGGGACACUUGCGAAAAUGGCAAAAUAAGUUAUAAUAAUUAAGUCCAUAGAACACAUACUUUAUUAUUUGAGAAAGUGACAAAAACAAAGACCAACUGUAACGACCCAACUUUUCUAGGUAAGUCGAGAGUCGUUAAUUUUUGACAAAAGACUUUGGUUGAUACAAAAUGAAAUGUAAGCCAAUUGAAAAACAACUUUAAGUCAGGCCUGAUUUUCAAAUAUUCCAAAAACUUAAAAAAAGUACUAUUUACAAAUAAAAGUUUGUAAGUUAUGUUUCAAUACAACGUCUUAAACCUAAAACAAAACAAUAAGCGGAAGCAAACUAACACAUUUCCUAUGGCAAUCACACUUCCUUGCUGCCCCUCGCCGGUUUGCCGCCUUUAUUACCUUUGCCUGAAAAUUAAACAUAAGAAGGGUGAGUAUAAAAAUACCCAGUAAGAGACCCUCUACUGGUCCCGUCAGGGGAAAAAUAAAUUGUUAACAUUCUAUUGGGACACCCUGUACAGUCGCGCAGUCUUGUGAUCCCGUAGGAUGCACAUUUCAGUCUAACGCCUCGAGGGACGUACAUUUCAGUGUAGUGUUCUGCAGAAACACAUAUCAGUCUAAUGCUCCCGAAGGUACAGAAUAAUUGGUGAUCCCGUGGGACACCUACAAGGCACACAUCCCAAUAAAAGCUAACAAUUUUUCCCCUCAAUCCAUUCGUACCAUCUUUCAGUUACUUCAAAAUAUAAAGUUCUUUCACUCAACGUUCUAACAGUCAACUUAUCUCACUUUAGCCCAAUGUCUGUCAGUAACAUACUAAUACGUCAGUCAAUCAAACUAUAUAGUCAUAACGCCUCUCAGUUCACCAGCACACAGUCAUACUUUAGUAUAACGUACACCCAGUCUAAACGACAAUCACAAAGUUCACAUCCGCAUCUCAAUACAAACACAAUCUACAAUUGUCGUCCUGUCUACAUCCACACACAUAUAUAUAUAUUCCAAGACAAUCACAAUAUGCAUUCAACAUCAAGUCUACUUCAAUUCAUGUGUAUAUAUAUAUUUUCAGUCAUCCACAGUAUACAUUCAACACCGAACCUACAUCCAUACGUAUAUAUAUAUUGUCUCAACACAUUUACUCAAUCAGAGGUGACUAACAUUACAAUUCAAAAGCAUAGGUGAGUCCAGUAGAAAAUAAAAUCCCUUACCUCACUUUUAUGCAAGUUCUUCAAUCUACUAAAUCCAAUGAAUCAAAUCCUAAACAUAAUCAAUCAUAAAAUCAACAUCUUUCUAAAUAGUUUCAACCAUUCAAAUUACCCCAUAUGUAAAUUCCACAACUUACCCAAGAAGUGGAAAAUCAAGUCCACUUCAACCUUUUGGAAAAUCAAGGAUUCGCUCACUGAAUCAAGAUGUACCUUCAAGAAUUAAGCAUUUCGCCAACAAUUAAAUCCAAUGGCAGCAUUCAACAAAAACCAAGAAACCAACAAAAACCAUAACUUGUUCUUACCCAAAUAUGAGCCCAAUGGUUCACGGCGAGGCAAAAAUGACAAUCAAGAACGAAUCAAGCGGCUGUAAAUAGAGCAACACUGAAUGCGACUCAACUGGAAAAGAAAAUCGGCUUCAAAUCGUAACUCCGUCUUACAACGAGCAGAAGAACGUCGACUUGAUAGGGGACACGUAAUUUAGGAAGAGAUCGACUUGGAUCCGUGUAUGACUUCACGAGAUGUAUGCGUCGACGGCUUCACGGAGGUGAAGACAGACGCGGUCGGAGAGUCACGCGGCAGUGCAGAAAACGGAGGAGAAAGGAACGGGCGGCGGCUGGGCUUGGCUUCGACGGAGACAGAGAUUGCGCAGCAGGGCUUCACGAACGGAGAGGAAAGGAAUGGGCACGGCGAUGCAGAUCUGGACGACUGCUGCAAGGUGACGCGUACGGCACUUCACGAACCGGCGACGGUUGCAGCGACGGAUCUGGGUUAUGGCGAACUGCAAGGGUGAAGCACAAGCGACGGCGAGGACCUGGACGGCUCGGCGAUGCAGAUCUGGAUGACGAUUUGCUUUGACGCGGGAGGCACGACGGUUGUGAGCGGAGAGGCACGGUGGUUGUGAGCGGAUGGGCGCGGCGGUUUCGAUCCGAAGGAGAAAAGGAAGACGACCGGAAAGAAGAAGAAGAAACGACCGGCAGCUUGUGUGGCCGACUGGGUGAACGGAGAAGAGAGGGAUGUGCGGCUGCUAGGGUACGGGAAGGAGAAAGGGAUGGAGGACGCACGGGAGGAAGAAGGAAGGAAAAAUUUCUUUUUUCUUUUCUUUUAUUUAAAUAAUAAAAAUAAAACUAAAAUAUAAAUAAAUAUAUAUAUAAUAAAAUUUCUUUUUCUUUUCUUUUAUUUAAACUAAAUAAUAAAACUAAAAAUAUAAAUAAAUAUAUAUAUAAUUAUAUUAUCACAUUUUCAAAUCUUCUUUCCCCCCUUCAACAUAUUUUCUUCAAAACAAUAAAUCUUGUACAAAUCGAAAAAAUCUCUUAAAAUAAAAUACCUUCGAGUUUGGGGCGUUACAUUCUUCCCUCCUUAAGGCGAAAGUUCUAAUCCUGAAAUAACUCUUGAUAACGAGUCCUCAUCUCUUCUUCUCGCUCCCAUGUCGCCUCUUCAAUUCGAUGAUUCCGCCACAAAACCUGUACUAAUGGAAUGCUUCUAUUACGAAGCAUCUUUACCUCUCUAGCCAGAAUCUCCACAGGUUGUUCUACAUAGCUCAAAUGCUCAUCAAUCUCCAAGGGUUCAUAGUCCACGACAUGAGAUGUAUCGGCCACAUACUUCCUCAACAUCGAAACAUGGAAAACAUUAUGGACUGCAGAGAGUGAUGGUGGUAAUGCCAAGCGAUACGCCACAACACCAACCCUCUCUAAGAUCUCAAAUGGUCCAACAAAACGAGGACUUAACUUCCCUUUCUUCUCAAAACGCAUAACACCCUUCAUAGGUGCUACCUUCAAGAAUACCUUUUCUCCCACAUCAAACUUAAGGUCUUUUCGCCGUACAUCUGCAUAACUCUUUUGUCUACUCUGCGCUGUUUGCAUACGUGCUCUAAUCUUUUGAAUAGCCUCAUUAGUAGACCGAACUAAUUUAGGUCCCAUCAACCUCUGUUCACCAACCUCACUCCAACAAAUAGGGGUUCUACAACAUUUACCAUACAAAGCCUCAAAUGGUGCCAUACCGAUGGUAGCCUGGAAACUGUUGUUAUAAGCAAACUCCAUCAAAUGUAGAUGAGAGUCCCAACUACCUGGAAACUCUAGAACACAAGCUCGUAGCAUAUCCUCUAAAACUUGGUUCAAACGUUCAGUUUGACCAUCAGUUUGUGGAUGAAAGGCUGUACUGAAAUCUAAUCUCGUACCCAUAGCAGUCUGAAGUCCCUUCCAAAACUUGGAAGUAAACCGUGCAUCCCUGUCAGAAACAAUCGAUACAGGCACUCCAUGCAGUCUCACAACCUCAGUUAAAUACAACUGUGCCCACUUACUAGCAGUAUAAGUGGAUUUCCCUGGUACAAAAUGUGCCGAUUUCGUAAGCCUGUCUACAACAACCAAAAUCACUGUGAAACCCUUCAGGGUCUUAGGCAGCCCUGAAAUAAAAUCCAUCGACACAUUCUCCCACUUCCACUCUGGCACACUUAAAGGUUGUAACAAACCUGCUGGUUUCUGUCUAGGUGCCUUAACCUGCUGACAUACUAGACACUUACUAACGAAUUCCGCCACUUCCCUUUUCAUAUUCCGCCACCAAUAAAAUCGUUUUAGAUCCUGAUACAUUUUCGUACUACCAGGAUGCAUGGAAAAUGAAGAAUUAUGGGCUUCAUCUAGUAAGUCAAUCUUAGCUGCACUGUUCGCUGGCACACACAAACGUCUCUCAAACAUCAAUCCACCAUCAGAGGAUAUGGAGAACUCAUCAGUCUGCUCUGUUCCAACAAGGCGACGUCUCUCCGGAGUCAAAUAAGGAUCAUUACUCUGAGCAUCAACAAUCUUCUGCCUCAGAGUCAGUUGCACCGUUAAUUGAGCUAACUGUGAGGUGACUCUCCCCACAGAUACUACAAUCUCAGCUCUCUCCAAGUCUCGAUGUAAUGGUACCUGUCUAGUAAUGAGUGCUGCCGAAUGUGAUACUUUUCUACUAAGAGCAUCAGCCACCACAUUCGCCUUACCAGGAUGGUACAAUAUCUCACAGUCAUAAUCCUUUACCAACUCGAGCCACCUUCGCUGUCUCAUAUUCAACUCCUUCUGAGUGAAGAAGUACUUCAGGCUCUUAUGGUCAGUAAAGAUUUGUAUCUUUUCACCGUACAAAUAAUGUCUCCAUAUCUUCAAUGCAAAAACCACUGCUGCCAACUCCAAAUCAUGUGUGGGGUAGUUCUGCUCGUGACUCUUCAACUGACGAGAGGCAUAAGCAACCACCUUACCUUUCUGCAUCAAAACACAACCCAGUCCUUUCUUGGAAGCAUCACUGUAAAUCACAAAACUUCCGGAUCCAUCUGGUACUGUAAGGACCGGUGCAGUAACUAACCUUUGCUUAAGGUUCUGAAAACUAUCCUCGCAAGCUGGACUCCAAACAAACGGAGUUCCCUUCCUUGUCAACUGAGUCAAGGGAGUAGCCAAACGUGAAAAAUCCUCCACAAACCUCCGGUAGUACCCUGCUAAACCCAGAAAACUACGAACCUCACUAACUGUAGAGGGUCGAGACCAACUGGUAACCGCUUCUAUCUUUGCAGGGUCUACAGAAACUCCCUCACUGGAAACCACAUGACCAAGAAAAGCCACCUGCUUCAACCAAAAUUCGCACUUAGAGAAUUUAGCAUAAAGUUUAUUGACUCGAAGAGUCUCUAACACUUUAUGUAAGUGUUCCUCAUGUUCGGCCUCAGUCUUGGAAUAAACCAAAAUAUCAUCAAUGAAGACUAUCACAAAAGUGUCUAAGAAAUCCUUAAACACCCUGUUCAUCAAAUCCAUAAAUACUGCAGGUGCAUUAGUCAAACCAAAAGACAUUACCAUGAAUUCAUAAUGUCCGUACCUCGAACGAAAAGCAGUCUUAGGAAUAUCACGGUCUCUAAUCCUCAACUGGUGAUAACCUGACCGUAAGUCAAUCUUAGAGAACACCGUGGCUCCCUGUAACUGAUCGAACAAAUCAUCGAUUCUAGGUAAAGGAUAUCUGUUCUUGAUUGUUACUUUAUUCAACUCUCUAUAGUCAAUGCAAAGACGCAUCGACCCAUCCUUCUUCUUCACAAACAAUACUGGUGCACCCCAAGGCGACACACUAGGUCGAAUAAAGCCUUUGUCAAGCAACUCCUGUAACUGUACCUUCAGUUAUUUCAACUCGACAGGAGCCAUCCUAUAAGGGGCUCUAGAAAUGGGAGUAGUGUCUGGCUCCAACUCAAUGGCAAAAUCAAUCUCUCUAUGUGGCGGUAGUCCUGGAAGAUCUUCUGGAAACACAUCUGGGUAUUCUCUUACCACAGGUUCUGAAGUUAAGGAAGUCUCAUCUUCCCUAGUAUCCACCACACUUGCCAAAAUACUCCAGGUACCCUGGUUGAGCAGUUUACUAGCUUUCAUAGCUGAGAUUACUUUAGGCAGUACUACUGUUCCUACCCCUUGAAUUUAAAGCUAGAUUCGGUAGGGGGACUGAACACAACCUCUUUACGAGAGCAAUCAAUACUAGCAUGAUUAGUAGCUAGCCAAUCCAUACCUAAAAUUACAUCAAAGUCACGCAUAUCUAAUACCAACAAGGUUACGUCCAGCACACGACCAGCUAUCUCAAUUUCACAUGCUUUAAUCUUUUCCUUAGACAACAUAAUUUCUCCAGACGGUGUAGACACUGACAAAACAUAAUCUAAGGGUUCCACCUCUAAGCAUGCAUGCGUCACAAAAAGCGAUGAAAUAAAUGAAUGAGAAGACCCCGAGUCAAACAAGGUCAAGGCAAAAUGCCCUAACACUGGUAAUGUACCUGUCACCACUGUGCAGGCCUUCUCUGCUUAUGAUCUAUUAGUGGCAAAGAUUGUACCCCGCUGUGGAGGUUUCGCUCCCUGACUGCUCUGUCCAGCCCCAGUAGAUCUCAAGGGACAUCGAUCAGCCAUGUGUCCCUCUUGCUUGCACUUAUAACAGACUCUCGUUCCCAUCAAACAACGACCCAGGUGGUGUUUCCCACACGUAUUGCAUAGUGGCUUCUCUCGAGUAGUGUCUCCUGCCCCGCCAGAACUCUGCUGGAAACUGCAAAAAGGAUCGCCUAAUCUCAAGUUCCUCUGAGGAAUUCCCACAGUUCUCUGCUCUGCUUUCCUCUUUUGACCAGACGACGAUCCCUUAUCAAAACUCCUUGCCCGAAUUUCAUCCUUCCCAAUGCUCAUAUCCACUGCCAGGCGCAGCGCUUCAGCCUGGGUAGUGGGCUUUAGUGCUCGCACAAAGCCUCUAAUCUCAUCUCUCAAUCCUUUGACGAACCUAUCAGCUCUAGCCUGCUCAUUACCAACAAGUUCAGGGGCAAAACGCGACAGCAUAUCAAACUCCUGGUCGUACUCCUCGACUGUCAUAUGUCCUUGCUUCAAUUCCAAGAAUUCCUGGCUUUUGGCGUCUCUAAGGUUAGCCGAGAAAAACUUGGUAUAGAAGCAGUCUUUAAACUGAUCCCAGGUAAUCUGUCUCACAUCUCCACCUAGCAUACGCAUCGUAGUUCUCCACCAGAUAAUACCUCUGUCCCUCAGAAGAAAAGCAGCACACUGAACUCUAUGCUCCUCUGGACAUCUCAUGUAAUUAAAUAUGGUUUCCACAGAGGACAACCACAACUCAGCUUUAGUAGGAUCCUCUAGUGACCCAUCAAACGUCUGAGGGUCAUAUUUCCUAAAGUCCCUCAAAUGUUUCGCCUCAGCAGAAAGUUGGUUCGGUAAUGUCUGCGGCUGUUGUGCAGCCAAUCCUUGCGCAGGAGGGGCUGCUGGUGCAGGUGGAGCUGCUGGUACAGGGGGAACCACAGGUGCAGGUGGAACUGCAGGUGCCUGCUGGUUCUGAGCUAUAGCCGUCAUAAGCUCCGUGAACCUCUGCUCCAUGUGAGCAGACAGUGCAGCAAACUCAACAUGAGUCACGGGUGCAGUAGGAAUUCGCUAUUCAGCUUGACCCUCAGUAGGUUGAUUACGACCUGCUCCUCUACCCGGCCUCUACGACCUCCUCUACGUACACCUCUCUUUGGCGGCAUAAUUCCUAUUAUCCACCAACAACACUCUUUAAAAAGUCUUAAUCAUAAGCAUAAGAAGUCUUUAUCGUCAUGCAAUCUAGUUUAAUUUAGGCAAAGUCAUGCAAAUAAACCAUACAUAUAAGCAUAAAGCAUACCUGACGAGAGACGAAGGGUCGCGUUAGGCAUAGGGACAUAAAACAUAGACUUACAUCGUAAGUCAGUCUACAGAACCUAAAACUUAGGCUCUGAUACCAACUGUAACGACCCAACUUUUCUAGGUAAGUCGAGGUCGUUAAUUUUUGACAAAAGACUUUGGUUGAUACAAAAUGAAAUGUAAGCCAAUUGAAAAACAACUUUAAGUCAGGCCUGAUUUUCAAAUAUUCCAAAAACUUAAAAAAAGUACUAUUUACAAAUAAAAGUUUGUAAGCUAAGUUUCAAUACAACGUCUUAAACCUAAAAAAAACAAUAAGCGGAAGCAAAAUAACACAUUUCCUAUGGCAAUCACGCUUCCUUCCUGCCCUCGCCGGUUUGCCGCCUUUAUUACCUUUGCCUGAAAAUUAAACAUAAGAAGGGUGAGUAUAAAAAUACCCAGUAAGAGACCAACUGGUGAUUUAAUUAUCAAAGAUAUUAUGAUUUUGUCCAGUUUUUUUUCAGUCAUACUAGAAAAAUGGAUUUUAAUCAAGACAUUGUGUCGUUGAAAAUAAAGAAAAAAGAGGUGGGAUGAGGUACAUUGUGUUGUUGAAAAUAAAAAUAUGGAUUAUUUCUUAAAACAAUCAUAUUGACACAAUUUAAUUUAUUUCAAAACAAUUUUUUCGUCAUUAAUUAACAAUUCUUUUGUCAUUAAAAAAAAUUUCAAAUGAAAAAACCUCAAAUUUCAAAAAAGUUCGAAGUGGGCUACCGAGUCGUUAUGAAGAACCCUUGCCCUCCAAUUUUUUGCCACUUGUCGUCGUCGAUUCCACACUCCAACCACUGUUGUCGUUGCUCCCACAACAAGCCUUCGCCGUCAAACCCACCAAUCUAGCCACUUUCGUCGAAUAAAUAGAAAUAUAAGUUUUAAUGACACUUGAAAUCAAGAAAAAAAGAUAUGAGGGAAUAAAAUGUGUCGUUAAAAAUAAAAAUACAAAUUUUUUUGUGACACAAAUUGAGUUUUCUUGACAAAAUUUUCGCAUUGUAAAUAAUGGCAUAAAUUAUGUGUCAUUAAAAAUUACCCUAAUAAAAAAUCAAUGUUUUCCUUCAAUCAUACGCUUUUUGAUUUAAAACAAAUAAUUCGAAGCUUUCAUCCCACUUGUGAACAAUGACCGAAAAAAACCUUACUUCAUCCCACAUCGUCACUGUCUUUAGCUCUCUCGCAAAUGCUCUCUGGCGACGUUCCCCCUCUCUCGCAAAUACUCUUCACGACUUUUCCUCUCUCUCAAAAUUAAGCUCUUCGCCCACCGUUUGAAGGAACUCACCAAAUUUGCAAGUAAUUGAAGAAUUUGUGGUCCAUGAGAUCGAUUAAGUCCAUUUAUGAGUUAGUUUGAUUAUUAGAUUAGAUUAUGUCACAUAUACAUGUAUUACAAUUAAGGGACUUGCGAAAAUGGCAAAAUAAGUUAUAAUAAUUAAGUCCAUAGAACACAUACUUUAUUAUUUGAGUGACAAAAACAAAGACCAACUGUAACGACCCAACUUUUCUAGGUAAGUCGAGGUCGUUAAUUUUUGACAAAAGACUUUGGUUGAUACAAAAUGAAAUGUAAGCCAAUUGAAAAACAACUUUAAGUCAAACCUGAUUUUCAAAUAUUCCAAAAACUUAAAAAAAGUACUAUUUACAAAUAAAAGUUUGUAAGCUAAG